rnacentral:rRNA from 1 species
CAGUAGCCGCGGUAAUACGAAGGGUGCAAGCGUUAAUCGGAAUUACUGGGCGUAAAGCGCACGCAGGCGGUUUGUUAAGUCAGAUGUGAAAUCCCCGAGCUUAACUUGGGAAUGGCAAUGGAAACUGGACGGCUAGAGUGUGUCAGAGGAUGGUGGAAUUCCCGGUGUAGCAGUGAAAUGCGUAGAUAUGUGGAGGAACACCGAUGGCGAAGGCAGCCUCCUGGGCCAAUACUGACGCUCAUGCACGAAAGCGUGGGGAGCAAACAGGAUUAGAUACCCCCGUAGUCCCUGUCUCUUAUAC